GCCCUCAGGAAUGAGAUAGCGGUUCUCUGGAGACUGAGUGCUCUUUGCGGUGCCCAAGGAGGCCGAGCUCUGUUGCUACGAACUUCAGUGGUCAGACCUGCUCAUAUUUCAGCAUUUCUUCAGGACCAACCUACCCCAGAAUGGUGUGGAGUGCAGCACAUUCACUUGUCACCGAGUCACCAUUCUGGUUCCAAGGCUGCAUCUCUCCACUGUACUAGUGAGAGGGUUGUCAGUGUUUUGCUUCUGGGUCUGCUUCCGGCUACUUAUUUGAAUCCUUGCUCUGCGAUGGACUAUUCUCUGGCUGCAACUCUCACUCUUCAUGGUCACUGGGGCCUUGGACAAGUUGUUACUAUGUUCAUGGGGAUGUCUCGCAGAAAUCUGCCAAGGCAGGGCUUUUGGGACUUUCAGCUUUAACCUUUGCUGGGCUUUACUAUUUCAACUAUCACGAUGUGGGCAUCUGCAAAGCUGUUGCCAUGCUGUGGAAACUCUGAGCUUUUUGACUUCAUACUUUGAAGAAUUGAUGUAUGCCUAUUUGCCUCUGCUUUGUCAUGUCAUUCAGCUCACAGUAAGGAAGAAAUAACAUAAGUCUAUUGGUGAACAGUCUUCUUCUCUUAAUCUUUGAGGAAAAGGUUUGAGAGGAAUUAUGUCUAAGAAAUUGUGAGUCUGAGUUCUGUAUUCUGGUAAGUAAAUGGGGUUGCCUCCCAGCUUCUCAUAAGACUCACAGUAUAACUAAACAUGAUAUAUGAGCAUUUGCCUUUUAUCAAUCUCUUAAAGAGAAUCCAGUUUUAUUACUAUUAAUAUAUGAUCAAACUUCUUUUUUGCCUUGGAAAUAAUGGACAAAGGGAAAUAUCGUUAAUUCAUGAAUAAAAACUUUGCAGAAAACUAGACAGUGUUUAAUUUUUGAAAAUUUCCCUCUCUAUUCAGUAGAUACCACCUACUGAUGGAUACAUAUACUAGGGAAAUUUUAAAAUUUGGAAAUGCUGGUAUCUCAUAUUAUAAAUUUCUAAAUCCUUCGAAGAAAAGCUUGUGGUGCUUCUGAA